rnacentral:rRNA from 1 species
AGUGAACGCUGGCGGUAGGCCUAACACAUGCAAGUCGAACGGCAGCACACUAAGAUCUUGCUCUUACGGGUUGCCAGUGGCGUACGUGUCAGGUAUAUAUCCGAAUCUACUUUUUCGUGUAGGUUCACGUAGCUAAGCUUACUCUAAUACCGCAUCCGACCUACCGUUGAAAGCAUUGGAUCUUCUGACCUUUCGCGAUUGAAUUCGCCGCUUACGGGUUGGCUAGUUGGCGGGUGAAAUGCCCACGCAGUCGACGAUCGGUAGCUGGUCUGAGAGGAUGGUAGGCCACAUUGGAACGGAGCCACGGUCAAGACUCCUACGGGAGGGAGCAGUGGGGAAUAUUGGACAGUGGGGGGAAGCAUGACCCAGCCAUACCGCGUGGGUGAAGAAGGCCUUGGGGUUGUAAAGCCCGUUUGUUGGGAAAGAAAAGCAGCAGGUUAAUACGACGCUGUUCUGACGGUACCCAAAGAAGAAGCACCGGCUAACUACGUG